AAAAAAAUAAUAUUCUCUCUGAAAAGCUCUCUUCUUCUUCAAAACAUCUAUUCUUCUUCAAAGCAUCAAACUUCAACAUGUAAGUACCAUCUCCUUCAUCUUUAAAGUUUUACUCUUUUAUUUUGUGUUCUUCUUGAAACCAUUUUGAUUGCGGAAAUUUUUCAACAUCAAAUCAAAACUUUUUCAAAGAAAAUCCCCAAAUCAAAAAGGCAUCAAAAUUUCUAUUCUUAAAAUUUUUCUGAAGAACACAUACAUCAUUAUUUCUUAUCCUUACCUCUUUCAUGAUAAAUAUUUGUGUUGGUUAUUUUUGAACAUUAUUGAACUAUUUGCAUGUGAAAAAAUAUCUAUGAUGAAAAGCUUAUGUUUUUAAGUAGAAAAGUUUUCUAAAUUUUUUUCUCAAACAAGAAUUCGGUUGUACCACGGAAUUUGUGACCCAAUGUUCCCUCAAUAUGACUUAUAGAUGAUGUUUUAAGAAAAUGAUUAAGAAAUCAAAGGAUCCACGGUUUGGUCACACAAAUGUUUUGAAAAAAAUGGGUUAACCAAGUGGUAAAAAUGCUUAGGAAAGUAAGUUUUUAAGCCAAAAUCAUGCUCCAAAUUUCAAAACUCUAACCACAUUAAGUUCUAUUCGUGGCUGACAAUAAUUUUGAUUUGUAUUACAAUCUCAUUUCAAACAUUCCUAAAGGAGAAAAAGGUCCAUACUUGUUCAAAAACAUGACUCCUUGCAAAUUGUGUGAACUUUGUCUUGUAUCACCACUUUUUCAUGAACCAAUAGCCUUAAGAACAUCAAAGAACUCUGUUUUGAUGUGUCAUUUAAGUUAUGGGGCUGUUUUGGAAAUUAUGAUACAAGCAAAGACUUUCAAUUUUUUUUACUUGGGCACUUUUUGUAAAUAUGUGAAUUAAUGCAUGAUGUUGGGGCUGUAUUUUCAUUAUUAAGACAUCAUAAAAUUAAUAAAGCAUAUUCAUAACCGGAAAUUUCAAAGGAUCCAAAUGAAGCUUGAGAAAAUUUGUAUGCCUACUUGACAAAAUGCCUUAAAUCUAAGCUUCUAACUCCUAGGUCUGGAAAAAUUGCUUGUAUAAUAUUUUUUGUAGAAGUGGAAGGGAUCUCUCAUAGAAAGGCAAAGAAGUUUCCAAGGAAUCCAAGAAAGGCAACAAAUUUUACUCUAAGGAUGCCAAACACAAGUUCAAGUAGAUUAUUCUGAAAAGUGCACCCCG
rnacentral:lncRNA from 1 species